GCAUAUAAAGCCAAUUACAGGCGUUGGUCUUGUAAACCAAAGUUUGACCAUAAAGUCUAUAUGUA
rnacentral:tRNA from 1 species